UCGUAAACUCGCGGUUCUCAUUGUAAUUGUAUUUAUAUUUACCGAUCAGAAGUGAUCCGUAUGGAGGGGAAGAAGGAAAUAAUACUCGACCUACAAUCGUUCCUUGUCAGAACUUCGAGAUACGCUAAUUUCAAGUGCAUUUUAACGACUUCAACCGGUAGCUGAAAACGAAGGAAUUAGUUUUGGAUUAGCGACGAGGCGAAAAGAACAAGGAGUGCAGCAGCAGUUGUUUACUGGAAAUCAAUCGAUUAUUUAUUUAAAUACAAUAUAUAAGUAUAAUAAUUAAUAAAAUAACCGUAUACACAAAACAGGUAUAUAUCUACAUCUGUAAAAACACAACUAUCUAAACAUCAGGCAUCGCCACUGCACGACGAUAUCAUCUUGGAACACGUUAAUUUUAACGAAUAUUAAUCGAAGCGUAAAAGCGUUACAGGCAAAAUGUUGGCUGUACGGCAGAUCGAAAUGAGCAUUUUUUCAAAAUUCUAUUUCAAUUACAGAAUUCGGCCAAUCUAAUAAAGCAGUUCGAACGACGAACGAUAUACGAUGGCAGUGUAGUUAUUGUAUUGUCUAUAUAUCCAGCGUGAAGUGGUAAGUUAUUAAGAUCUACAAGUCCUUCGGCUAAUGAUAAAGAGGCUCUAGGCUAUAAGUAUGCGAAUAAUUGGAGGCAUCGUCAUUAUUAUGUAUACAUAUAUGUAUAUUAUUCCGGCUCCCAAAAUUGACAUUCAACAUGCAUUAAUCAUAUAAUCAUUCGGUGAAUUUUGUUACGCGUGUAUCAAGGUUUUAGAGUGUCUCUGUAUAGCUUAAAUUCUCCAGGAAAUAAAUUAAGCAGUGAAAAUUGAAAUAAUAAAUGUAUUGUUACGACUAUCAUACAUCAGUGCAGUGGCGUACCUUGCGGAACUUUGUCAAUUUUCGUAUUAAUUUUUGCCUCUUUUUUUCCACUUCUCCUUUAUCCUGCGAACAAGGCCGUUAACGUUCGAUUUUUAUACGCAAACAAACGGAGAUCUGUAAUAAUUUAUUUCUCCGAGAC
rnacentral:lncRNA from 1 species